AAAGGCUGGCACAUACGGCCACUUUUAGUGAUCUAGCACCAUCUAGGUUCAAUCCAACAACAGUCCAAUUUUUCUGUGGAGCUAUAAAAAUCCACAACAUCCUCACUCUGAAAGGAUUGAUACUUACUUGUCUCCAGUGAAUAGAAGACAAUGCUUUGCCCACAAAAUCUAGGAAAGUAAAUCUUGUUUUCCAUUCCUGGUGUCCGCCCUUGAAAUUGUAAAUACUCUCAUUCCCUGUUUGGUUCGCGAGAAAACAGAGAGAAAAACAUUAACCCAGAAGGUAAAAUCUCUCAAUUUGCGGUCUUGUUCGUAUCUCUGUGCCCAUAGCCAAUCCUGAGGCCAACGAAAGAUACAAUUUUACCCGAGUGGAAGUAGAGGGUCAAUGCAUGACGAAUGAAAUGCAUAUUGGAUCUGAUCUAGUGAAAGUUUUCAAGUCAUUCGGCACUUUAGUGGAAAAACGAGGUCACUUAAGAUUGCUGAAGCCGGACCGCUAGGGCUUGGUGUGCAAUUUUUUACUAUUAAUAAAAGAAGAUGUAUCUUGCAUUCUAGCCGAAUGCAGUAUGCUUCUGAUACAUGUCAUUCUGCUUUGUAUUAGGGAGGGUUUGUUUUUAUUUUGAGGUGAGUUCCAACCAAUUCCUGGUUCUUAGGGCUCUCUGUGCACAGUGCCACGGCUCAGGCCAACAAAAGCGAUGCUUUUAAAGAAGAUGGACAGUAAAAAAACAUUCCUAAGUAUGCACCAGCACAAUUUUACAUUGAUAAUGUUCUACCCCAAAUCAAGGAGAAGAAGAUAAUGGCACUUAAACCUUUUGUCAAUCGGCUUGGGUAUGACAAUGUUCCUCAAGAAAUCAGCAGGCUAAGGUGCAGGGUGAAUUAUCAUGCUCUGAAAUUUCUUCCUGAGAUUGAGCAGAUGGCUGAUUCACUGGCAUCAAGGAUGAGAAACCGUAGAGGCAGCUCAAAUCCUUUCAUGUAUGUGAAAUUGGUUGUGAAGGUUUCUGAACAAUAUUCUGGGUCUUGCUAGUAGCCAACCGUACUAACUAGGAAUAACUAGACGUUAUAAGGUGACCUGGAAUGAUGACACUUUGAUUGGCUUCUGGGAGAGAUGUUAAUAGAAACAAUUUACCAAACAAUUCUGUGAUCGGGGUGUGCAAGUUGUCGUCUGAUCUUUUUCCGGGGAAGGACUUAUCGGCCACAUCACUUUCCGUGACGGUCGGGUUAAUGAAUGUGAUAGGGUGUUGGUUUGGAGCUAUGCCAAGUUGCCAUGGUGAUGGUGGGUUAGCUGGGCAGUACAAGUUUGGUGGUAGGAGUGGUGGGUGUGUGGUACUUCUUGGCACAGCUAAAUUGAUGUUGGGUUUGGUAUUAGGGACUUCUUUGGGGAAGAUUUUGGACCAAUUUCCUGUUGGGAUACUUGGAGUUUUGCUCUUGUUUGCGGGGAUUGAGCUAGCUAUGGCUUCAAGGGACAUGAAUUCCAAGGAGGAAUCUUUUGUGAUGCUUAUUUGCACAGCGGUUUCACUUGUGGGUUCAAGUGCAGCGCAGGGUUUUGUGUCUGGGAUGAUUGUGCAUGUGCUUCUUAGGCUAAGAAAUUUGAGUAAGAUCAACCCUGUUGUUCCAUAGUAUAUUGUGUGCCCACUUCUCAUCUUGUGGUGAUUUGAUAAUUUCUAAUGUAUCAUUUGAAAUCGUGUAGAUUUUAAGUUUAGUUCAACAGAUGUCUUUUACUAAUGAAAAGGCACAGACAAUCCAAAGCAGCUUGUUAAUUCAGCUCUUGAGCUUUCUUGCAUUUUUCCUCCAGAUUCGUCAUCUCGAGAUUGUACUAGUCCAAGUUCUACAAAAAGCAACUUGUUCAGAAAUAA